AUAGAAUAGUUUUGAGUUUGUUUACCUUUAUUCUUUUUUUGAGAACUACUAGGAAUCAAAAGAACACUGUAAUCUCAGUUGCUGAGGUUGGAUACGGAGCAACUUGAAAAGAAAGCUGUCAGAACUAUAGCUCUACAGUUCAUGCAAGAGAGCAUACAAUGCAUCUCUUCAGCCACUCCAGGGCCGGGAUAUGCCACUCCUUCUCAUCAGAGCAUAUUCACCGUGCGGAGAUACCUCGCUUUGCAGUCUACUGUCUCAUGGUUCACUAUCAGAUAUGUUGUAUGUUAAUUAACCGGUUAUGCUAAGAGACAUUACUCUAGCUAUAAUGACGGGUCUCUAUUGAGAUCAACAUGCAGUACUGCAUGCUGCAAUCAAUCAAUUUGAAGACGACCACUGUAAUGGCAAGAUACUGAAAGGCAAUUUCAAAAGGCGGGAACUACCAUUGCAGCACCCACUAGACCUGUUACAUCUGUGGUCGUGUUUGUGGAUCACAUAUUGGGCGGCCAUUUUGGCACAGGCAAAGCCCUAGAUGAGUUUUGUUGAAAUCGACAUGCAACCUACUCAGUCGUCAUAUCAUCACAUCAUCAUCACCACCACCACCACCACCAUCAUCAUCAUCAUCAUCACCACCACAACCAUUUACACUCUCUGGUGAAUUGAUGAAUUUUUGGCUCACUGGCAUCUCUGUAUGUAAUUAGGCUCAAAACCCAUGUAAAAGCGAAUUGUGUUUGUCAUCAUCUCAAGUACUAUAGCUAUCACAGAACAGGUUUUGUCAAGUCUUCAAUAAGCAUCCUGCUGACUGGAGUAAUAUUUAAUUUUUACAAAUUCUAUACAACAGAAGCAAUAAAGACUCUUGUAAAUAAAAUAACAUUACUGCAAACUGUAUGUCCUUCCAAAUCUCUUCACUACAACCACUGCAACUUUCUGAUACCAUAAUUAAAUCGCCUGUAAGGUGGGAGAAAUAUAGCUAAUUGCAAAAGUUGGUGUUUAGAUGAUAGUGAAUUGAAGCAGUGAAAAGAUUGGUCUUUCAGUGAAGACAAUCACAGAAGAUCCACACAAUCACUCAGUAUGGCAAUAUAUUCUGCAAGACCUAAACUCAGUGGGUAUGGCUGAAAUUCAGGUUCAGUUUUGCGUCACUGUUCAUGCCCCAAUGAAGACAACAUUUCAAACUGUAGCUAGAUAUCAUUUAGAUUUGGUUGUUUUGUGUGCAUGGCUCAUACUAUUGGUGUGCUAUGCAUAAAAUAUGAGUCUACAUCUGU